UCAGAUGACAUGCUCCCCUGCUC
rnacentral:piRNA from 1 species